rnacentral:tRNA from 1 species
AGGCCCAUAGCUCAGGGGUAGAGCGGCGGUCUCCAAAGCCGCGCGUCGGGGGUUCAAAUCCCUCUGGGCCUGCCA